rnacentral:lncRNA from 1 species
CAAAAUAAUAUAGAAAGGUCGAAAUAGUGGGGGAGAGGUUGCACCCAAUGCCAUAACCCCAUCAAGCUACAACCUCUCUUCUUGUUUCCAACUUUGAUCUUUUCUAAACUAUACUCCAAAACCAUCUCUUCUUGCAUGAUGUUAAUCAAGUUUAUAUAAAAAAAAUGAAAACAUUUUCAGUUAUCCAACACUCUUUCUACUACACUUGCCACUUCGUGUUUCAUUUAUUUAACUGUUAAGCUUCAUUCAAUGAGAAAAAGUCUCUUUAUGUUCCUCACUUCAUUUAUUUGUGUUAUCCAUUCCCUCCCUCUUUAUAUUUCUUAAUAACAAAUAAUAACAGCAUGCAUGCUUCACUAUAACAACGCUCGCUUAUUUAUUGUAAUCACCUCAUCCACGCUUUAACUCUAAGAAC